CUCCCUCCACUCUCUAGCAAGGAUUCGAACUGUGAGGGCUGUGACCUGUGAUAGGCGACGCAACAGAAGACCAGGGAAAAAGAAGGGUCAAGUUUCGUUGUGCAUCAUCGAUCAGGGUACUGCGAGAUGAACGGGGAUUGUGAGAACUGUGCUUUCUGGAGGAAUCAUUACUACUGGGAACACAUGGGUGACGAGAAGAAGCAAUUUUCUGCUGUAGCCAAAGGUGAUUUCAAGAACAACAUGCGUAUACCACGGGAACUUUCAACCAAUCUGAGGAGUAGGAUCUCUGACACCAUUAAACUCAGCGCUCCUAAUGGUAGGGCAUAUGAUAUUGUGGUGACCUGGGAAUCACUACAAAAAAAUACAAUUCUGUGAUGAUACGUGUUUGUCACAGUAGAUUGCGUUUUUGUCAUG